rnacentral:rRNA from 1 species
AUUGAACGCUGGCGGCAGGCCUAACACAUGCAGGUCGAACGGUUACAGGAAGAAGCUUGCUUCUUUGCUGACGAGUGGCGGACGGGUGAGUAAUGUCUGGGAAACUGCCUGAUGGAGGGGGAUAACUACUGGAAACGGUAGCUAAUACCGCAUAACGUCGCAAGACCAAAGAGGGGGACCUUCGGGCCUCUUGCCAUCGGAUGUGCCCAGAUGGGAUUAGCUAGUAGGUGGGGUAACGGCUCACCUAGGCGACGAUCCCUAGCUGGUCUGAGAGGAUGACCAGCCACACUGGAACUGAGACACGGUCCAGACUCCUACGGGAGGCAGCAGUGGGGAAUAUUGCACAAUGGGCGCAAGCCUGAUGCAGCCAUGCCGCGUGUAUGAAGAAGGCCUUCGGGUUGUAAAGUACUUUCAGCGGGGAGGAAGGGAGUAAAGUUAAUACCUUUACUCAUUGACGUUACCCGCAGAAGAAGCACCGGCUAACUCCGUG